AAGAGUUGCCGUAUCUCUGCAGAGCUGUGGCAGCAAUAUUACUGAAGGGCCCUUCUCCUGAUUCCGCAUAUUUUAGCAGCAGCGGAAUUGCUUCAGGCAGAAGGGCGUUCUUCAUUCCCAGCAGGCUUCCCAUUGCAGUGUUUUAGAAGCCCAUGUUCAACGUUAAGAAAUCUAAAGAUGGAGAGGGUUACUUUCAGAUGCCCUUUGGCAACCAUCAGAAAAGAAGAUUAUCAAGCAAAUCAGUGGGACAACUCCUAAGUUGUGAGUUGGUGUUGCUGGAUCUGGCCCA